ensembl:lncRNA
AAGAAAAGGAAACAGCAUAAGUCUUUUAUAUGCAACUCUUCUGGGGAAGGCUAACAAAUCACUUCUGCGACUUGCUUCCACAUUAUGUCAAGUAUCUUACUUGGCCAGUUGGGAGUAUGCCAUAUUCCACUGGAAAUGCCAAAGAAGAACACAGGACUUGGACAGAGUAAACCUUUCGUAAACCUUUCGUAAUACACCACCAAGAAAUGUUUGGAGGUUCGAUCCUUGUGUUCAGCACAAAUCGUUUGUGCUGAAGAGACAGACUGAAUCUCGGACAAGAUGUCAGGCCAAAUCCUCUUUACAAGGGGGUUUAUCAUUGUAUAUUCAGUGUAAUGAGUAUCCACGGACAUCUGUCAAUGUAUUUUGUGUGGAAGGGGGAAAGAAAAAAACCUGAAUAUGCAUGUAAUUGUGGUGAUUUUAACCAUUAAUGUGGUGUCCAGAAAGCAUUCAGAAAAGGAACUGAAAACGCCACAAUAAACGGUGCUUCCUGAUGUGAUGUAUAACAACCCCAUCCAAGUGAAUUGCUUCUGAGUUUUCUCCUUUAAUCUUGCCUUGACUCUGAGUCUCUGUGCAAAACUACAAGUUCUUUGGCACAGGGACUGUGCCAGGGUUUACAGAACACCUUUUGCAAGAGGGUCGCAGUUAGAACUUGGCAGCAUGUGAGAAAUAAUGAAGAAAAGAAUUGG